UGGGCUCGUAGCUCAGCUUGGCUGGAGCGUUCGACUGAUAAUCGAAAGGUCAUGAGUUCGAAUCUCAUCGGGCCCAU
rnacentral:tRNA from 1 species